UAGGGAAUCUUCCACAAUGGGCGAAAGCCUGAUGGAGCAACGCCGCGUGUGUGAUGAAGGGUUUCGGCUCGUAAAACACUGUUGUAAGAGAAGAAUGACAUUGAGAGUAACUGUUCAAUGUGUGACGGUAUCUUACCAGAAAGGAACGGCCAAAUACGCGCCAG
rnacentral:rRNA from 1 species